AACAAUUGUUACAAAUCUUAGGGUAACCAGACACACCUAUUACCACCUACAUUUAUUGUCAAACGGUUUUUCGCCUAGAGGAAAUAACAUUUCAGCAAUUUUCUAUAUUGUCAAUUUUGACAAAAAAUAUAUUUGACAAUAGGUGUGUCUGGUUACCCUAAAGUUUGUAACAAUUGUUACAAAUUGUUACUGGAAGUCGUCUGUUAACCCAAAAGUUCUGCAAAAGAGAGCGGUUGGAGAGAGAAAUUUUGACAGUUCUUUCAGUGAGAGUUUGCAAAUUCUUGCUGGAAAAAUUUCUUCUUGCAAUCACUUGCAACUCUUCUUCUUCUCAUUCAUCGACAUUCAAUCAGAUGUUUUCUAUUGUUUGUUUAUUUAUUUUUGUGCUUUCAAUUUGAAAAUAUUUUUUUGGAAUUAGCAAGACUAAUAGUUUUUGGAGAAAAACUUUACAAAAUGUGAAAAACGUAAAUGUUAAUAUGUAAUAUGAAAAUAAAAGACUAUUUCCAACAUUUUUAUUUAAAAAACUUGUAAAAUUAGUAUUGCUUCCUUUGCUUUAAUUCUCCUUAUGGGGGACAAAUUGGUUUGUUUUGACAAAUCAGCUGAUUAGUUGCAAGCUUCUGCAGGAAUACCGUCUGUUUACUUUUCGCAUUUUCCUUGCAAAAGAGAAUAAAACUACCUUACUCUCUCAGAAAGAAGUUGCUGGACAAUUCCUGCUGGAAAAGUAAACAGACACACAAUUAGUUUUAAAGCAAUGUCGUGGAUAUUUUGAACGUUCAGCAUACUUUCGCUGUACGAUGGUUAUACUAAAACGUGUACCUCAAUUUCAAAGAAUUCGUUUGGAUAGUCAUUCAAAUACAGAAUAUUGAAGAUAUUUAGUAUUGCACUUAAUUACACAAAACUUAAACCAUAACGCAUAAUAUCUCCUUGUUUAUAUUCCCUCAUAUUGGACUUCAAACGUAACGAAAAAAGGUAAAGCUUUUCAAUCAUACCUAAGAUGGAGAAGUACAUGAGCAAACCACAAAUACCAAAACAAUUUACUAACAUCGGUUCCACUGUAUAACCCCGAAAUAAUAGAUUUUCUUUAAAAUAAAACGAUGUGACAUCUUUUAAAAAG